UACGGAAGGCAGCAGUGGGGAAUAUUGCACAAUGGGCGAAAGCCUGAUGCAGCUAUGCCGCGUGUAUGAAGAAGGCCUUAGGGUUGUAAAGUACUUUCAUCGGGGAGGAAAAACAAAACUAAUAAUUUUAUUUCUUGACGUUACCCGAAAAAGAAGCACCGGCUAACUCCGUGCCAGCAGCCGCGGUAAUACGGAGGGUGCUAGCGUUAAUCAGAAUUACUGGGCGUAAAGAGCACGUAGGUGGUUUUUUUAAAGUCAGAUGUGAAAUCCCUGGGCUUAACCUGGAACUGCAUUUUGAAACUGAAAUACUAGAGUAUCGUAGAGGGAGGUAGAAUUCUAGGUGUAGCGGUGAAAUGCGUAGAUAUCUGGAGGAAUACCUGUGGCGAAAGCGGCCUCCUAAACGAAUACUGACACUGAGGUGCGAAAGCUGGGGAGCGAAACAGGGAUUAGAUACC
rnacentral:rRNA from 1 species